rnacentral:rRNA from 1 species
AUUGAACGCUGGCGGCAGGCCUAACACAUGCAAGUCGAACGGUAACAGGAAGAAGCUUGCUUCUUUGCUGACGAGUGGCGGACGGGUGAGUAAUGUCUGGGAAACUGCCUGAUGGAGGGGGAUAACUACUGGAAACGGUAGCUAAUACCGCAUAACGUCGCAAGACCAAAGAGGGGGACCUUCGGGCCUCUUGCCAUCGGAGGUGCCCAGAUGGGAUUAGCUAGUAGGUGGGGUAACGGCUCACCUAGGCGACGAUCCCUAGCUGGUCUGAGAGGAUGACCAGCCACACUGGAACUGAGACACGGUCCAGACUCCUACGGGAGGCAGCAGUGGGGAAUAUUGCACAAAGGGCGCAAGCCUGAUGCAGCCAUGCCGCGUGUAUGAAGAAGGCCUUCGGGUUGUAAAGUACUUUCAGCGGGGAGGAAGGGAGUAAAGUUAAUACCUUUACUCAUUGACGUUACCCGCAGAAGAAGCACCGGCUAACUCCGUG